ensembl:lncRNA
CUCUGUUUCACAUGUGAUAAUGUGUAUUUUUCAGCGAUACUCUUGGACUCGUCCCUCCCUCUCCUCCCCUGCCUGUUCCCUCUGUCUGCGUCUCCACGGCUGCUCUGCAAAGAGGUUCUUCAGUACCAUCUUUGUAGAGUCCACACACACGCCUCAACAUACAUAUGUUUUUUCUCUUCCUGACCUACUUCACUCUGUAUCAUAGGCGCCAGGCUCUUCCACUUUAUUCCCUUUCUAGCUCAUCCUGCCUUCCUGGUUCAGACCAUGCUCCGUGAGCUGCAGGAGUUCCGAUCUUCCCCGCGCGUCUGGGUCGGUGGCUCCCGGCUCUGCAGGUUUCCAGUGCUGCCCACAUUGGUCUGGGAUGGCGGUGUCAAGGAAAGGGAGAUUUGAAAGCUCUGGACUGAAUCUUGAAAACAAACAGAAGACAUCGAAAAAUUUGUCGAGAUAAUGAGCCACUUCAUUCAAGGCAGUGCAAUGGCACACACAAUUAAAAGUGUUAGUCGCUUUAGUCGUGUACGACUCUUUGCAGCCCUACGGACUGUAGCCCACCAGGCUCCUCUGUUCAUGGGAUUCUUCAGGCAAGAACACUGUGUUGCCAUGCCGUCCUCCAGGGGAUCUUCCUGACCCAGGGAUCCAUCAGGGGUCUCUUACUUCUGCAUUGGCUGGAGGGUCUCUGCCUCUAGGGCACCUGGGAAGCCCUAUGGACCACCCACUCUCAGGCAAGGCUCCAUUUUUUGGCAGCUCCCAGGCUAGGACACAGGGAGAGAGGCAGGAGGCCUACACCUCACAUUCUAAAAACUCAAGAUGUGAUGAAAGUCAGCAUGGAGGACCUGUGAUUUGCUCUCCCCUUUCUGUUAACCUGUGCCAAGAGAGCUGCUGAGGAGGAGCUUCAUCCCCUAAAUCUUUCUGCUUUCGGGUGGAAGGAUGCAUUUCGAUAAGGGACUCUGAAAAAGUCAAUGAUGAUCAAAAGAAAGGAAAAAAAAACAGUGGAUUAAUGUCAGGCAGAACAAACUGCAUGAUUUAUGUCAGCGUGUGUAAUAGUGGAUUUGAUGUGUCAAUAUAGCUAGCUCUGGUACAUAAACGCCGGGUAAGAUGGUG